AGGAAAGUAAGCUAAAAUUCAAGCUAAUAGGUUCAUACCCUAUCUAUAGAGAUUACCUCUCUUUUCUA
rnacentral:tRNA from 1 species